rnacentral:rRNA from 1 species
AUUGAACGCUGGCGGCAGGCUUAACACAUGCAAGUCGAGCGAGCGGCGGACGGGUGAGUAAUGUCUGGGAAACUGCCUGAUGGAGGGGGAUAACUACUGGAAACGGUAGCUAAUACCGCAUACCAUCAGAUGUGCCCAGAUGGGAUUGGCUAGUAGGUGGGGUAAGGGCUCACCUAGGCGCCGAUCCCUAGCUGGUCUGAGAGGAUGACCAGCCACACUGGAAAUGAGACAAGGGCCAGACUCCUACGGGAGGCAGCAGUGGGGAAUAUUGAACAAUGGGCGCAAGCCUGAUAGAGCCAUGCCGCGUUGGUGAAGAAGGCCUUCGGGUUGUAAAGCACUUUCAGCGGGGAGGCGUUACUCGCAGAAGAAGCACCGGCUAACUCCGGGCCAGCAGCCGCGGUAAUAC